rnacentral:tRNA from 1 species
GUGCUUGUAGCUUAAUUGGAUGAAGCGUCGAAUUGCGAAUUCGGAGAUUAAAGGUUCGAGUCCUUUCAAGCACG